UAUUGGUCAAUGGGCGCAAGCCUGAACCAGCCAUGCCGCGUGCAGGAAGACGGCCCUAUGGGUUGUAAACUGCUUUUGUACCGGAAUAAACCUUGAUAUGUAUAUCAAGCUGAAUGUACGGUAAGAAUAAGGAUCGGCUAACUCCGUGCCAGCAGCCGCGGUAAUACGGAGGAUCCAAGCGUUAUCCGGAUUUAUUGGGUUUAAAGGGUGCGUAGGUGGCCUAUUAAGUCAGGGGUGAAAGACGGUAGCUUAACUAUCGCAGUGCCUUUGAUACUGAUGGGCUUGAAUACAGUUGAAGUAGGCGGAAUGUGACAAGUAGCGGUGAAAUGCAUAGAUAUGUCACAGAACACCGAUUGCGAAGGCAGCUUACUAAAGUGUGAUUGACACUGAGGCACGAAAGCGUGGGGAUCAAACAGG
rnacentral:rRNA from 1 species